UACAGAGGUGCCGAGCGUUAGGCGGAAUCACUGGGCUUAAAGCGUGUGUAGGCGGAUGCCUAAGUACCUUGUGAAAUCCCACAGCUCAACUGUGGAACUGCUUGGUAUACUGGGUGUCUUGAGCCACUUAGGGGUUACCGGAACAAAUGGUGGAGCGGUGAAAUGCGUAGAUAUCAUUUGGAACGCCAAUGGUGAAAACAGCUCGCUGGGGCUGCGCUGACGCUGAGACACGAAAGCCAGGGGAGCGAACGGG
rnacentral:rRNA from 1 species